AACGAACGCUGGCGGCGUGCCUAACACAUGCAAGUCGAACGGAUUGAAGGGGCUUGCUCCUUCAGUUAGUGGCGCACGGGUGAGUAACGCGUAGAUAAUCUGCCUGAUGAUCUGGGAUAACAGUUCGAAAGGACUGCUAAUACCGGAUAAGCCCACGUGGUCUUUGGACCGUGCGGGAAAAGGGGGGGACCUUCGGGCCUUCUGUCAUCAGAUGAGUCUGCGUACCAUUAGCUAGUUGGUAGGGGAAUGGCCUACCAAGGCUACGAUGGUUAGCUGGUUUGAGAGAAUGAUCAGCCAGACUGGAACGGGGACACGGGCCGGACUCCUACGGGAGGCAGCAGUGGGGAAUUUUGCGCAAUGGGCGAAAGCCUGACGCAGCAACGCCGCGUGAGUGAUGAAGGCUUUCGGGUCGUAAAGCUCUGUCGAGGGGAAAGAAGUGUAUUGUGGUUAAUACCCGCGAUACUUGACGGUACCCCUAAAGGAAGCACCGGCUAACUCCGUGCCAGCCGCCGCUGUAAUAC
rnacentral:rRNA from 1 species